rnacentral:rRNA from 1 species
CCUACGGGAGGCAGCAGUAAGGAAUAUUGGUCGAUGGACGCAAGUCUGAACCAGCUAUGCCGCGUGAAGGAUUAAGGUCCUCUGGAUUGUAAACUUCUUUUAUAUGGGACGAAAACAGAUCUUUCUAGGUCCUUUGACGGUACCAUAUGAAUAAGCACCGGCUAACUCCGUGCCAGCAGCCGCGGUAAU